rnacentral:rRNA from 1 species
CUACGGGUUGCGGCAGUGAGGAAUAUUGCACAAUGGGGGGAACCCUGAUGCAGCAACGCCGCGUGGAGGAUGACGCAUUUCGGUGUGUAAACUCCUUUUAUAUGUCAAGAAAAUGACGGUAGCAUAUGAAUAAGCACCGGCUAACUCCGUGCCAGCAGCCGCGGUAAUACGGAGGGUGCAAGCGUUACUCGGAAUCACUGGGCGUAAAGGACGCGUAGGCGGGCUUGUAAGUCAGGUGUGAAAUCCUACAGCUUAACUGUAGAACUGCACUUGAAACUACGAGCCUAGAGUAUGGGAGGGGCAGAUGGAAUUAGUGGUGUAGGGGUAAAAUCCGUAGAUAUCACUGGGAAUACCUAAAGCGAAGGCGAUCUGCUGGAACAUAACUGACGCUAAGGCGUGAAAGCGUGGGGAGCAAACAGGAUUAGAUACCCUAGUAGUC